UAUUGGUCAAUGGACGCGAGUCUGAACCAGCCAAGUAGCGUGAAGGAUGACUGCCCUCUGGGUUGUAAACUUCUUUUAUAUGGGAAUAAAGUUUUCCACGUGUGGCAUUUUGUAUGUACCAUAUGGAUAAGGAUCGGCUAACUCCGUUCCAGCCGCCGCGGUAAUACGGAGGAUCCGAGCGUUAUCCGGAUUUAAUGGGUUUAAAGGGAGCGUAAGUGGACAGUUAAGUCAGUUGUGAAAGUUUGCGGCUCAACCGUAAAAUUGCAGUUGAAACUAGCAGUCUUGAGUACAGUAGAGGUGGGCGGAAUUCGUGGUGUAGCGGUGAAAUGCUUAGAUAUCACGAAGAACUCCGAUUGCGAAGGCAGCUCACUGGACUGUUGACUGACACUGAGGCUCGAAAGUGUGGGUAUCAAACA
rnacentral:rRNA from 1 species